rnacentral:rRNA from 1 species
ACGAACGCUGGCGGCGUGCUUAACCCAUGCAAGUCGAACGGAAAGGCCCUGCUUUUGUGGGGUGCUCGAGUGGCGAACGGGUGAGUAACACGUGAGUAACCUGCCCUUGACUUUGGGAUAACUUCAGGAAACUGGGGCUAAUACCGGAUAGGAGCUCCUGCUGCAUGGUGGGGGUUGGAAAGUUUCGGCGGGUGGGGAUGGACUCGCGGCUUAUCAGCUUGUUGGUGGGGUAGUGGCUUACCAAGGCUUUGCCGGGUAGCCGGCCUGAGAGGGUGACCGGCCACAUUGGGACUGAGAUACGGCCCAAACUCCUACGGGAGGCAGCAGUGGGGAAUAUUGCACAAUGGGCGGAGGCCUGAUGCAGCAACGCCGCGUGCGGGAUGACGGCCUUCGGGUUGUAAACCGCUUUCGCCUGUGACGAAGCGUGAGUGACGGUAAUGGGUAAAGAAGCACCGGCUAACUACGUG